GCGUCGGUGGUGAAGCGGCUAGCACAUGCUCCUGGAAAGAGUAGGAUCUGGGUUCAAAACCCGGCUGACGCA